CUAAAUUUUAUUGUCUAUGAGACGAGAGCUUGUUCAGGGACGACUGUCGGAAGUAGUUGAUGGAAAGGAAUGCGGAACGUACGGGUCUGAGUUGAACAUCUUUAAAUAGUGUGAGAGCAGAUGUGAUUGGAAAAGUUAAACGUGACGAAGUAUCAUAUACUCUAACCCGUGCUUUUACUCGUAAUAUGUAUGUUUGAUUAUAGACACAUACUAUAAAAUACAAAAUACACAAUGUCAAUGAGUGAAAGCACUAGCCGAUCUGAGAAUAAUUAAGAUUGUCCCCAAGGACCUUGGUACAGCAUCCUGAAUUACACUGGGGGUCUCCGUGCGGCUCACAGCUCUGCUCUGGCCUCCGGCCUCUUCUCCUUACCAACGGCGGCUGCGGCUCCUCCGCUCUUCCCAGCGGCGAGCGCUCCAGCAGUGCACGCUGAAGGUCCCUUCCAGAAACAGCCCCUCUGAUGACACUGCCCUUUAACGCCUUCGCGAGAAGCAAGCAAAACCAAGUCCAGAGGGUUAGAGUUCUUGUGACAGUGGAGGACAUUUCUCGUAAGUGCGUGCAGAAAGCAGUGGCAGACGGCCUCGUGCCCGGCCUGUGCUUCUUGCCGCUUCGACUGGAGGACUUGGGGUUGGGGGCACGAACCCUCCGCACUGCUUUCAUCGCCCCAUGGUUCUCUCAGAUCUCCUCCAGCUUUUUGUGUUGGGAAUACUCAAACUUCCGAACAUUUGAAAGGCGGAAAACUGAUCCUCUUUAUCUGCCUCACCGAGCCCUGCCGGUCCCCUCGGGCCCCCUCCUGGGCUCGUUCACACCGGUUUGUUCCUGCGGAGCCGUUUCGGAAUGAGCAGGUGAACCCUGGAUGUGCCAGCAGCGCCUUUCCUGGGAAGAAACCCGUACAGAACCACAGAACUGCCGCCACCCCGCACGAGAUGAGCACAAAUUUCAGGUUCCCCACGGGGCUCACCGUGCUUGUGGUGGCUUUUGGCUUUGCUUUUUCACUUCAGGAUCGAGUUAAUAAUUCAUGUUGUAUUUGGUUAGAUCUAUGGGGUUUUACUGUUUUGUUUCUUAAAUCUAGACCAGUCUUCCAUCUCUUUGUUUUUUAUAACACAUUUUUUUUUUAAGCAUUCAGGCAAAUUAUCUUACUGAGGUUUACACAUUCUGGAUAUGACUGAGUCAUUUCCUCAAAUUUAGAUGUAGGUGAAAAUAUUGAGCCAAGAACACUCAGUGGGCUGUGCUCCGUUUCUCGUUUUAGCGGUGACUCUCGGUGGUAGGUUGUCCCGCUUUGGGGGACAGUAAUUUUGAUCCCUUACUUCAUGUGGUGACUAACUAGGACUAACCUUUGAACAUUCUGUUUUUAGAAACCUUUUAGGAAAAUAAUCUUUAAUUACUCGGUUGGCAUUGACCGUUCCCCAAAUAAAAGCAAGAGGAAGGAAACUCGAGAACGCCGGCGUCAUGCGCAUGGGGUGGGGGUCCCUUCCGUCUGCGGGCCGGGCCCUGCAGGAAGGCGGCUCUGGGCACGGGGAGCAGGAAUGCCAUUUAGGGUGUGCCCGUGAAGGAAUGUGGAUGUUUAGACCCUGCGCGCCUGUUGUCCUGAACACCGUAGUCAUUUGGAAAGUGUUGUUCGUAACCUUUGUUGAAAUCCUCUUAGAAUUCACGUCAGAAUGGCAGCUGCUUCUUGCGAACAUCCUUAGUAGUGACUCAUCUUUAUCCUGCGAGGGUGAAUUUGGUUUUCACAAAUAGCAAGAGACCUUUCUGUACCCAAUCUGAUUAAUUAAGGUCAGACUGUUUCAGGAGGAAGAAUAGUGUAACAGCAAAACUAAGACUGCUUUUCUUACGAGGUUCCCCUGAGGUCGGACGUUUACCUGUGUUGCGAGCCGUGGGCAGCACUGCUGGGCUUCGUGCCCGCUCCCCGGCUGACCUCUGCGGAGGCCCGCUCUCUGGUUCUCUUGUGUGUGCAUUUGUUUGUUGGUUGGUUUAUUUUAAGGAUUUUAUUGAUUUUAUUUUGAGAGAGAAAGUGGUGCACAGCGGAGAGGUGGAGGGAGACGCAGGCUCCCUGCUGAACAAAGAGCCCCAUGUGGGACUCGAUCCCAGGACCCCAAGGUCAUGACCUGAGCGGAAGGCAGAUGUUCCACGGAGCCCCCCAGGCGCCCCGUUAGGUGCAUUUAGUAACACGCUGCUUACUCUGCAGACUCCCGUUUCUUUGUACUAAAAAUGUAGUUCAGGGACCUCUUCUAACUGCAGUGUUUGGAGAGUUGUUUGUGGACUCCACACUGUGGACGGGCCAUUGCGUUAGUCGCAGUGGAGGGAACAUCGUGCGUGUGACUCGGCAGUGUUCCCUUCGAAUUGCCGGGUCAGAGUCAGACCCGGCAGCAGAGAGCAGGCGCGCAAGAACCCUAGCUGCCCUCUGCUCACUCGCCGGACUCGGACAGGCUUCGGGCGGCUCACGACUGCGACAGAGCAGUGUGGCUUCUGCCCGCUCUCGGUGUGCGCUCACAGGGGCCCCAAGGUGGCUUCUCGGCUCAGUCUCAGCCUCCAGGCCCCCUGCCGUGUGCUUUGCUCGCACGGUGCCCGAGGGGGUGUGUGCUUGCAGGAAGCACUGGUCGCGUUUGCGGCCGUGACCGGGAAGGACAGGUCCCCGCGGCCGUGCAGCGGCUGCUCCGCAGAGGGCCGGGGGCUUGGCGCCCGGCGCGCUGGGACGCGGGGCAGGAGCGCAGAGGGCUGGGGAGAGGAGAGGAAGGGGCCUGCGCCGGACCGCGGGGGCUGGAGGGACGAUGGGGGAGUCGAGGGCUGAGCCGCGCAGAUGGAGGCGAGCGUUGCCCCGACACCGGCACCGCGCUGGGCGGGAGGAGACUGGCAGCAGCUGCUGGCAGGGAAGCGAGGGGGUCCCCGACUGGCCGCCGUGCGUCCACCCUGAAUGAGAAGGGCCCCCGGCAGGGUCUCAGCAGAGGGCAGUGCGGUCGGAGGCUUUUAAAGAUUUUUCUGGUCUCUGCGGCGAGGCCGGUGAGAGGCGGAGCGCGUGCCUGCGGGGGGCCUGUGGCUGCGGUUCAGGUGCAGGGCGCGGGGCUUGGCCUGGGACGUGGCGGUGGAACCCGGGGGUGUGCCGCGGUUUGGAGACUCUCCUGACGGAGCGCAGCGGUGUGAAGACGACUGCCGGGAUUCUGGCUGGAGUGACCGAGAGGAAAAGGUUCCCUUCAGCAGAGAUGUGGGAAGAGCAGGUUUAGAAGACACAGUGAAGAGUAUUGUUUGGUUAAAAAUAAUUGUUAUACAUCCAAGUGCCGUAUUAAGCAGUAGGUUGUGCAAGUGUGAAGUUUAGGAGAGUGCUGUGGGCUGAAAAUAAAAGUAUGAAUUCAGUUUCUUCCUGGCAUCCAUCCCUCUGGUCUAAAAAAAAGAAAAAAAAAAUCCCAGAAAGGGCCAUUGGCACAGCCAGAGAGAACUUCAAGAGAAUCUUUCUUGUUCAAGUUUGGGAAAUGGGAGAUGAGUCUCUUGGUAGGGACUGCUGUGGCAGGCAGAACCCGAAACGUCAGGAAUUCAGAGGGAAGAGAACCUUUCUCAGUCACAAGAGCUGCUGUCUCAAGGGGGUGAGGGCAAGUUCCUGCUGCUUUAUGUUCUCCGUCUGCAUUUUGCCUUGGACGUAGGUGUAGUUGUUGAAAGUGCAAGAUAGAGCAAGGUGUAGACAACCCCAGGGUUGUGGACGGAGGUCCAAACUGGGGGAGCCCUAGGGCAUUGGAAAAUACCAAGAGAUGGUCAAGCGGGGGACGUAGGAAGGAGAUCCCUUCACGUCGCUUGUGAACUCCUGACUCACUCUUGGGCUGUGCGUGCGUGUGUCUGAUUCUGCACAGAAGAUCAGACGCUGAGGACUUGCACCGAGAGAUGGGCCACUGCCCGGAUCCGAAACUGGCCGAAGUCCUCACGAACAUAGCGGCGCUGAAGCCACAGUCCACAGAAGGCUGGCUGGGAUGUGUCGCCUGAGUCCGUGUAGCAUUGACCGAACGCUGAAACAGAAACGUCCAGGCCAGAAUUACUCAGCGUGUGAAGAACCCGAAAAUCUCAACUUGCAUGGGAGAAGACAUUGAACAGAUGCCCUCUAAGAUUGUAGAUGUUAGGAUUACCUGAGAAAGAUUUUAAAGCAUUUACUGUAAAAAUGCUCCGAGAAGUAAGGGUGAACCUUCCAGGUUCCUCCUCUCCACCUGGCCCGUGCACGAGGGCUUCCCGUGCUGGCUGUCUGGGAAUGACGAGACACCUCGCGCCUGACCCGGAGAGAUGUGAUCGCGAGCGGUUUCUCAGUCACAUCGGUUCCCAUUCCAGAGGAGGAGGAGGACACUGCGGACACCCCACGGGGCCACAGCGCGGGUGUGAUCUGGAGUAGAGGAUCCGGCAUGGCUGCGAGAAGCCAGCUUCGGAGCGACGGGAGGGUGGGCUGCCCAUGCGUCCCACAGGACGGUGUGGUAGGCUUGGUUUUUUUGUUGUUUGUUUUUGCUUUGGUUUUUUCUUGUUAAUUUUAUUGGAACUCAGGAACCUGAGAGCAAGAGUCACAUGCUCCAGACUGUGCCAGCCAGGUGCCCUGACGGGCUUGUUUGAAGGAUUCCAUGGUCUGACGCUGGAACCCACUCCCCGGAGAUGAGUAGGAACCCGGCCUGGUCUCUUCAGUGAGGAGGGUUCUUUGUCUAGGGCGCUUAUCCGUGGGAGCAGAGUGGGGGGCUUGUGCUCAGGCCACUUGCGGCUCAUCUGGUGUCCCUAGAUGAUAGGAAGCACGUGCUGUUGGGCCUUAAUUUUAGGCCUUACACCACACAAGCAGGUGGAAAUACAGCAAGUUUCAGAAAAGAAAGAAAAGAUACAGAGUAUCAUACUUUAGGGGUGACAAAUACAUUAGCCAAAAUAAGAAGCAGGUGGAUGGACUGAAUACCGGAUAGACACGACAGAAGAAAGAGGGGGAACAUGAAGGUGUGUCCACGUGACGCUAGGCGGCUCCUGGGCGGUACUGACACCCAUUCUGUUAUUAUGACUUGUGUUGUUCCUGAGUGGUGGUUGGCUGUAAUUUUUCUUAUUUUUAAGAUAACUUUAACAGCUCUAGUUUAUAAUUGAUGUGCAAUAAACUGCGUGUAUUUUUAGCAAAAAUAUUUGGUGAGUUUUGACGUUUGUAUACCCGUGAAACCAUCAACAGCUAAGAGAAUAAAUAUGUCACCCCCAAAAGCUUUUUCACGCAACAACUGAACCACUCUCUGUCACUAUAGAUUAGUUUUCGUGGUCUAGUAUUCUAUGUAAAUGUAAUAUUCUCUGUAAUCUUUGCCUGGCCUUUUUAUUCAGCAUAAUUAUUUUGAUACUCAUCUACUUUAUAGUGAAUUAACAUACUUAAUUCCUUUUUAUGGCCGAGUGACCCUGCAUUGUAUAGGUAUACCACAGCUUGAUCACUUUGGAUAGAUGCUUGGCUUAUCGCCAGUUCUGGGGGUCUUACGAGUGAAGCUGCUGUAAAUAUUUGUAUAUAUUGUACACAUUUGCUGUACACUCCGGCCUUUGUGUGGACAUACAUUUUCAGUUAUUUGGGUAAAUGCUUAGGAUGGGAAUGGCUUCAUAUGAUUAAGUACGUAUUUAUGUUUUUAAUAAAUGGCCAAACUGGUUGUCCCACUUGGCUGGACCAGCAUGUGAGAGUCCCCAGCAGAAGGAAUGAGACUUCCCUCGUCUUUUGCCUCCUCGCCAAGCCUGGCACAGUCUUCCUGUGGACGUGAUUGGUGGUUCCUUAAUGUCUAAUGAUGUUGUGCAUCUUCUCCUGUGCUUCCUUGACAUCUCUGGUUCUUUUAUGAUGUAUCUCCUCAGAUCUUUUACCCAUUUUAAAAAAGUGUUUUUAUUUAUUUGGGGGAGAGAGAGAGAGAGAGAGAGAGAGAGCGAGCAGCAGGCGUGGGGAGGGAGAGGGAGAAGCAGACUCUGCACUGAGUGUGGAGCCUGAAGCGGGGCUUGAUCUCAGGACCCUGAGAUCAUGAUCUGAGCCAAAAUCAAGACUCUUAACUGACGCUUAACUGAUUGAGCAAGCCAGGCACCCCUCUUUUACCCACUUUUAAUUGGAUUGUUUUAUUUCUAAGUUUUAAAUUCUUGAUGUGUUUUCUUCUUAUUUUUAUAGAUACAAGCCCUUUUUCCAGUAUAUGCUUUGCAAAGACUUUGUUUCCAUCUGUGAGUUGACUUUUUAUUCUUAGCAGUUCUUUGAAAGAACAAAAUCUUAAUUUUGAUGAAGUUCAGUUUAUCGACCUACUCUUUCAUGGACUGUGAUGUUGGUGUUGUGUGUACGGAAUCUUCCCCUAAACCACAGUCAUAAAUGGCUUUCUCCUAUGUUUUGUUCUAGAACUUCUGUAGUUUCGGUUUACAUUUAGAUCCAUGAUCCAUUUUGAGUCCAUUUUUGUGUAUAGUGUACUGUGUAUAGUGUACUGAUAAAUGCCUGCAUGUAGACAUCUGACUGUUCCAGCCCCGUGUGUGUGGAAAAGAAUGUUCUGGUCUCUUACUUACCUUCGCACCUUUGUCAGAUAUGCGGUGUCCGUGUGUGUAGGAUUCUCUCUGGGCUCUUUCCUGUUCCAUUAAUCUUUGUCUAUCUUGAUACCAAAACUUCAUGGUCUUGAUUACUGUAGCAUUAAAAUAAAUCUUGAAAAUAGGUAUUGUUAGCCCUCUUACGUGUUGUCAAAGUUGUUUUGUCUAAUCUAUAUUCUUUUCAUUGCUGUAUGAAUCAACAUGUUAAUUUCUACGGAAAAUCCUCCGGGGAGUUUGCGACUGUAUUCAGAGACCCACGAACACCGUGUAACUCUCUUUAUUUUGUUAGGUCGUUAAUUUUUCUUUUUUCUUUUCUUUAAGGUAUUAUUUAUUUAUUUGAGAGAAAGAGAGAACACAGAAGGAGAGUGAGAGGGAGAAGCAGGCUCCUCACUGACCAGAGAGCCUGAUGCAGGACUUGAUCCCAGGACCCUGAGAUCAUGACCUGAGCUGAAGGCAGACGCUCAACCGACCGAGCCACCCAGGCAGCUCCAUGGUCGUUAAUUUUUCCUGAUCAAAUUUUAUGUUCUGUUGUUUGGCAGAAUGUUCUGUAAAUGUGAAUUAACUAUAAUUGUGAAUUUUCUGUUUUUCUUUUCAGUUCUAUAGUAUUUUCUUCAAGUAUUGAGUCCCUGUUAGGUGUAGAAACACUUAGUUUUGUCAUGUCUUAUGACGGGUUGCUCUGUGUAUCUUAAAAUAAUCUUUUUAUCCCUGGUAAUGUUCUUUGCUGUGAAUUCUGCUGUGCCUGGUGUUCAUGUGACUACUCCAGUUUACUUUGGGUGGUAUUAGCCUCAUCUGUUCUUUCCUGCCUUUUUAUUCUUAAGCUAUUUGGGUCUUUUUAUUUAAAACAUGUUGCUAGUAGGCAGCAUAUGGUUGGUUCUUGCGUUUUCAUCCUGUCUCACGAUGGCUGCCUUCAAUUGGACUAUUCAGACUGUUUACUACUAAUCUGAUUAUUGAUAUUUAAAAAUUUCUCGUUUUCAUAUUUAUUCUCUAUUUCUUGUUUCUGUUCCCCUUUUUUUCUUUUUUCUGCCGUUGUAUGGCAUAAUUGAAUAUUUUUUUAUGAUUCUGUUUUAUCUGCUUGGUUGACUUAUUCGCUAUUAUUCUUUAUUUUAUUGAUUGCUUUAGGGCAGGAACUGUACAUCUUUCAUUAUGACAGACUACCAUCACAUGAAUAAAACAUUUCAUAUACAGGAAUGUUACAAAAGAAAAGAAAGAGCAGACAUUCAGCCUCACCACCGGGUGCUGUAAUGACCCCGUGCGAAGCAUAAGCGGGAGCUGCCGGGCUUGGACGGAGACGUGGCGAAGCUUUCACCGCUGCGGCGUCCCAGGGACGUUGUCCCUGCAGAAGCGUUGUGCUGCGCGGCGGGCCGGUGCAGUAGUGGGACAGCCUGACCGACUCAGACUCAGGCCCGGUGCUUCCUGCCCCCGCCCCCCGCAGCGGAGCGUGCCGGGCUAGUGGGCUCUGGGCGGCCCCCAGGCCAGGCAGUCCGCUCGCCAUCGCGCCAGCCUGCAGGCCGUCCUCGCGGUCGUCCGGAGCCACCGUUGGCAGACCAGGACCGUGGGGCUGAAGCUGGGGACACUGCCACCCGCCUAGGAGGCUGGGACUCGGGCUUCUGGGCCGGAGCCGGCUGGACCCCGCUGCGGCACUUCUGCUGUCCACCGUGUGGAACCAGUGGCAGCUGCCUCCGGAGAACAGUACACACAGCAGGGGGAAGGGAGCAGGGCGGGGGUUGCUUUCCGAGGGCAUAGAGUGUCGCCCAUGGGCGACACCUCCUUGAGCCUCCGCCAGCGAGGACGGACGGGGCAGUGGAACGUGCUCAUCUCUAGUUGCAGCGGCGGCCAAGGAGGGAAAGUGCGCGGUCCCAGUAGUCGCUUCCCGUCUGCGCCCACGGAGGCCUGAGGACUGCAGGGGGCGAUCGGGGGCGUCGGAAGGAACCGGAGAAUGCAGGCAGCUGGAGGCCGUGGCUCUUCUUGGCGGGCACAGCUGUCACACGAGCGCGGACCUGUGUGGCGGGAGGGGCUGAGUGGUCAGGGGAAGGACAGGCUGCAUCCCGUGUGCUGCAGGUUUGGGGUUACGUCAUUGACUGCAUGGCGGGGUCCUCAUCAGGGCCACCUCCUUGGGUCUGUGAGCUUCUCUUUCUCUGUGAAGUGACAGUGACGGGAUUAUCUGUAUUGCUGAGCUGUUGCGAAGUCCCUAUCUCGGCCGCCUUUUAAAAACUGCUCCGUAAACUACGACAGACACCAUAUGCAAGUGCUACUUUUUCUAGGGAGUUUUCACUUGCCGGCUGGCGGACCUUUCUCGUGCACGUGCUGCUGAAUCUGGGUGUUGGUAGGUUGGGGGCUCCGCUGACGCUUGGUGCCACCGGGACCGACAGUGAAGACCCCCGCAUCGUGAUGCUCCUGGCACUGUGCUGCUCACACUUCCCUCCAAAGCACCCGUAACCCAGAACACGCGCACAUAGGCUGUGCAGGCCGUCCUCACGUGCUGGUGGCUUUUCUGACGUCACAUUUUGUUUCCCAGCUUGUGUACAGUUUGCAGUCCAGCCCAAACAAUAUUUCUGUUAAGUUCCGAUUACCUUUUCAGUUACCCAUGAACAAGAUGUUAAAAAGAGGGAAGGGGCCCCGGCUGUUCUGUACUGGUGGACAGGAUGGGGGGGCCCAGCCAGUGACAUCACGUGCUCCUGGACCUCGGAGCGCACACCCCCAGUUCCUGGGCUGUUCUUAUUUGUUAAAGAAGAGGAUUGACUGUGUCCUGUGUCCCCUUCUGGGCAGCUGUUCUGUGAAAGCGCACGUAGUGCACAUCCCAAGGAACUCCUGACCUGAUUACAAAAUCAAAUUAUACAACACGCUCAUUCUUACAAAGUGGUUUCUAGAUAUUGUGUAAUUCUUAUCCAUCUAGGUUGGUCAUAGGGGACUUUGCCCCAUAGAGUUUAUUAUUGUCGAGGCCACAAAUGAUCAAAUUUUAUUUGUUUAAAAUAUUUGUGAGUGUUACUCAUCAGUAAAUGACGUUUUAUUAGGCUGUUC